rnacentral:rRNA from 1 species
AGAGUUUGAUCCUGGCUCAGGACGAACGCUGGCGGCACGCUUAACACAUGCAAGUCGAACGAGAGAAGAGGAGCUUGCUUUUCUGAUCUAGUGGCGGACGGGUGAGUAACGCGUGAGCAAUCUGCCUUUCAGAGGGGGAUACCGAUUGGAAACGAUCGUUAAUACCGCAUAACAUAAUUGAACCGCAUGAUUUGAUUAUCAAAGAUUUAUCGCUGAGAGAUGAGCUCGCGUCUGAUUAGCUAGUUGGUAAGGUAACGGCUUACCAAGGCGACGAUCAGUAGCCGGACUGAGAGGUUGAUCGGCCACAUUGGGACUGAGACACGGCCCAGACUCCUACGGGAGGCAGCAGUGGGGAAUAUUGCACAAUGGAGGAAACUCUGAUGCAGCGAUGCCGCGUGAGGGAAGAAGGUUUUAGGAUUGUAAACCUCUGUCUUCAGGGACGAAAAAAGACGGUACCUGAGGAGGAAGCUCCGGCUAACUACGUGCCAGCAGCCGCGGUAAUACGUAGGGAGCGAGCGUUGUCCGGAAUUACUGGGUGUAAAGGGAGCGUAGGCGGGAUCGCAAGUCAGAUGUGAAAACUAUGGGCUUAACCCAUAAACUGCAUUUGAAACUGUGGUUCUUGAGUGAAGUAGAGGUAAGCGGAAUUCCUAGUGUAGCGGUGAAAUGCGUAGAUAUUAGGAGGAACAUCAGUGGCGAAGGCGGCUUACUGGGCUUUAACUGACGCUGAGGCUCGAAAGCGUGGGGAGCAAACAGGAUUAGAUACCCUGGUAGUCCACGCCGUAAACGAUGAUUACUAGGUGUGGGGGGACUGACCCCUUCCGUGCCGCAGCAAACGCAAUAAGUAAUCCACCUGGGGAGUACGACCGCAAGGUUGAAACUCAAAGGAAUUGACGGGGGCCCGCACAAGCAGUGGAGUAUGUGGAUUAAUUCGAAGCAACGCGAAGAACCUUACCAGGUCUUGACAUCGUAUGCAUAGCUCAGAGAUGAGUGAAAUCUCUUCGGAGACAUAUAGACAGGUGGUGCAUGGUUGUCGUCAGCUCGUGUCGUGAGAUGUUGGGUUAAGUCCCGCAACGAGCGCAACCCUUACUGUUAGUUGCUACGCAAGAGCACUCUAGCAGGACUGCCGUUGACAAAACGGAGGAAGGUGGGGAUGACGUCAAAUCAUCAUGCCCCUUAUGACCUGGGCCUCACACGUACUACAAUGGCUGUCAACAGAGGGAAGCAAAGCCGCGAGGUGGAGCGAACCCCUAAAAGCAGUCUUAGUUCGGAUUGUAGGCUGCAACCCGCCUACAUGAAGUCGGAAUUGCUAGUAAUCGCAGAUCAGCAUGCUGCGGUGAAUAUGUUCCCGGGCCUUGUACACACCGCCCGUCACGCCAUGGGAGUCGGUAACACCCGAAGCCUGUAGUCUAACCGCAAGGAGGACGCAGUCGAAGGUGGGAUUGAUGACUGGGGUGAAGUCGU